CUUUGUAGCAGUAAAUCCCCUGAUUUGUGAUGAAUUAAGUCUUUUAUUUAUCUUUUGGGUCAAUUUUUGUUGUACCCAAAAUAUGCAUCUAAAAAGCUGAGCAACUCAUUCCCGACAGUUGCGUCUAUGAGUUGAUUAAUGUGUGCUAGUAGGAAAGAGUUUUGGGCAUCGUUUUUCAAGUCUAUAUAAUAAACAUGCAUUCUCCAUUUGCCCCAUUCUUUUUUUUGAAACUACCACAUGUUUGCUAACCAGUUCGGAUGCUUGACCUCUCUGGUUGAUCCAAUCUCCAAUAUCUUGGAUAUCUCUUCUUCUAUAGUCUUAUUUUGCGUAGAUCGAAUCUUCCUUUUUUUAUUGCUUGAUCGGUAAAUGAUGCUGGUCAAUGUUGAUUCUUGCGGAACUUAUCAUAUAAACAUGGGACCAAGCAAAUAAAUUGGCGUUAGCUUAUAAAAAUUCAAUUAACUUACCUCUCAGUCUGGGGUUGAGUCCCAAACCCAUGUAGAGUUUUUUUCUCGAAAUAUCGAUAAAGAGGAUGAUUGCCUCUAACUAUUCUGUUGUUGAGUUAGUAGCAUCUGGUUCUUCAGGGUCGCUAAUUGCAUCUAAAUUCUUGGAGUCUUCCUAUUUCGUGUUAUUUAAAUUUUCAUCAAUUGAGGGGUAUGGGUUUUUGAUGAACCCUAUUUCUUUGAUUGCUAUUCAUCGCUUCCAUCUUUGGCCAGGAUGUUUGCUAAAGCCACUGAGUUACUUUCCCAGGACUCACAGGUGCAUGAUGUUUAUGGAGAUACAUGGAUCAACCAAAACACAUUUAAUAUCAAUAUCAAUAUCUGAGACUCAUAAAGUGAUUACAAAUGGGUCGUGAUAUGGGAAAAUCAAUUCAUCGGCGUCUUCAUCAUUAAAGGUUAUGCCAUCUCCAAUUAAUGUUUUCCUACGCCUUUUUCAUGAGUAAUUUAGACCUUGACAUACUUCUUUAUAGUUGUGUAUGUGAUAUUGCUGACCUCUUCUCCUCCGAAGAUAACAUUCAAUGUGCUCCUUUGCGAUAGUGCUCAGGGAGGUUCUUUGUUACUUAUGUUCUUCAUAUAGUGCUUUUUUUUUUUCGCUAAGUAAUUUCUUAAGAUAUCCUUUCUUAAGUAGAUAAUCUAACUCAUUUUGUAGAAACUUGUAAUCUACGGUCAUGUGCCCAUGAUUUUGUGAAUUCACACCACAACUCUUUUCUCAUUUCCUUAUACCAUCUCACAUCUUCUCCCAUAUCUCUUAAUAAGGACACCAACUCGGAAAUACUAACAUUGAAGUUGUAAUCCUCAAGCUUUGGCACCUCAGAUUCCUUGCCAGCCUGAGAAGACAGUGUUGUUCUUUUGGUUGGUAUGUCUUCUGUCCCUUUUUGGUUUUGUUCUUUUAUCAGAAUCUCGUCUAGAAGAUGCAGCUCCUCAAAUUUCUGCGUUUGUGCUCUGAUUGUCUUGAUGUGCUGUCCCGAUGAUCAGUGUAUCUGCUUCUUGACUUGCUGUCAGCACCGAUAUGAACUACCAUCUCCUCAUUUAUUUGUGUUUUGGUGCUAUACCAGUUAUACACGUCGAUCUAGGUUGUUGGUAAAAGUUUUCGUAGACUUUCCUUCAAUCUUACAAAGGUUAUUGCAGCCUAAUUGUCCAGAACAUGAGGCAACAACAUUCUUUCUCUCUGAAAUUGGUCCACAAAUUUUCGGAGUAAUUUCAUGCUCCCACGUUGAAUCUUCAAAAUAUUCCUUCAUCUGCUUCUUAACUUUCUAAGCUUUGGUGUGUGCCUUAAGAAAAGCAUCUGCAAGCUCAGCAAAUAAAAUAAUUGAAUUUUCAGACAAAAAGGAAUACAAGGUUAAUGCACCUUUUGUGAACGUUUCUCCAAACUUCUUUACGGGUACUGAUUUGAUAUCUUGCUUUGUUAGGUAAUUUCUGUUAACUUUAGUUAUAUAAGGUAUGACAUGAUCCUGGGGAUCAAAUGUUCUAUCAUACCUUAGAAUAUCCGACAUUUGAACUUCUUCGGUAUUGGCAACAGAGUAGCACUCUACUUUCAGGACUAUUGAGAGUACGUAUCCAUGUCUAUCCCGUUGAUAACAGGUGGAACUCCCAAGUUGUACCUGAACCUUCAGCACCGAUAGCGUUUGGGAGUCCCUCGGUACUAGAACUUCUAGGUGCAUUAGGUAACUCCGACUAGUUUCAUUCUUGGUGAUGUCGGUGACCUAAUACUUGCAUUUGUACUUAGGCCAUAAUAUCCUUAUUAUCUGCUGAUUCUAGUCUCUUUGUUGCCAGUUCCAUCUGAGAUUCGGAUGCUUCACUAGUUAUAAUUUUUCGACGUGAUGGUUCUCUAAAACGAUUCGAUGGUGAAUUCCUCGGAGUUUAACACGGGCUUAAUUGUGAUAACUGUAUUCUAUUUUUUUCAGUUUGUUCAACAGUGCCAUGUUGAUUUUCAAUUGAUGUAAUUGGUAGAUCUCCAGCAAUGAUAAUUUGCUAAGACUGAUAAGA